UACGUAGGGGGCUAGCGUUGUCCGGAAUCAUUGGGCGUAAAGCGCGUGUAGGCGGUCCGGUAAGUCCGCUGUGAAAGUCGGGGGCUCAACCCUCGAAAGCCGGUGGAAACUGUCGGGCUAGAGUGCGGAAGAGGCGAGUGGAAUUCCUGGUGUAGCGGUGAAAUGCGUAGAUAUCGAGAGGAACACCUGCGGCGAAGGCGGGUUGCUGGGCCGACACUGACGCUGAUGCGCGAAAGCCAGGGGAGCGAACGGG
rnacentral:rRNA from 1 species